GAUGAAGAACGCAGCGAAAUGCGAUACUUGGUGUGAAUUGCAGAAUCCCGUGAACCAUCGAGUCUUUGAACGCAAGUUGCGCCCGAAGCCAUUAGGCCGAGGGCACGCCUGCCUGGGCGUCACACGUCGUUGCCCCCCCAUCUACUCCUUCGGGAUUGCGGGGGGCGGAUGAUGGCCUCCCGUGCGCCUCGUCGCGCGGUUGGCAUAAAUGCCAAGUCCUCGGCGACGCACGCCACGACAAUCGGUGGUUGCGAAACCUCGGUUGCCCGUCGUGUGCGGUCGUCGCGCAUCGAGGGCUCGAAAAAAUUGCCGGGCUCCGGCUCGGCUUUCAACGCGACCCCAGGUCAGGCGGGGUUACCCGCUGAAUUUAAGCAUAUCAAUAAGCAGAGGA
rnacentral:misc_RNA from 1 species